rnacentral:rRNA from 1 species
UAUCAGCUCUCGAUGGUAGUGUAUUGGACUACCAUGGCAAUUACGGUACGGGGAAUUGGGGUUCGAUUCCGGAGAAGGAGCCUGAGAAACGGCUACUAUUUCUAAGGAAGGCAGCAGGCGCGUAAAUUACCCAAUCCUGACUCAGGGAGGUAGUUAAUAGAAAUAACUUGAUCGGCUCUAUGAGUAUUGAUCGUGUAAUGAACCAAAUGUAGAAAAAUUGGUGAAUCCUAUUGGAGGGCAAGUCUGGUGCCAGCAGCCGCGGUAAUUCCAGCUCCAAUAGCGUAUAUUAAAGUUGUUGCAGUUAAAAAGCUCGUAGUUGAAUUUCCGGCAGUAUUGCCUGUCCGUAAGGGUAUCGACCACCGUCAAAAGUUUUUGAUACUUGAGCGGACUUUUACUGUGAUUAAAAUAGAGUGCUCAAAGCAGGCUUGUGCUUGAAUAUUUCAGCAUGGAAUAAUAAAAGACGACUUCAGUCAAUUUAUUGGUUAUUGGCAGAAGUAAUGAUUAACAGAAACAGUUGGGGGC